UUUUUUUUUUUUUUUUUUGGUGUGAGAAGAAGUUAAUAUUGUAGGAUUUUUGGACUUGAAGGGAAAGUUUAUCUUUUCUUUUGUAGAAAAAUGAGUACAGAAGGUGAAGUUCAAUGUUCACUCCCGGAGUCAAGAUCAGAUGAUGUUGAAGCUCAAGAAUUCCACAAGUACUUUUACUGUUACUUUAUUUAAUUUAUUUUAGAUUUUCAAUCUUCAAACCUGUGGGUAUCUUUUAAUUAAAAUUUCAAGUUAUUAAGCAAUGUUUGGUUGCUUAGGAAAUGGAAGGGAAAGAAGAGGAAAUGGACUAAUUUCUGAGUUUUAUCAGGAAGCUAAAAUUUUCAUACACGAGAGAAUUUCCUUUAUCUUUGGCUGAGGUGUAAGAGGUUACCCAGCUGAUUUGAUUCGUCAAAUUUGUGUGAACUCAAAGGUGCUUCUACCGGUUCAUCAUCACUGUCCUCUAGUGAUUCAAUUAUGUAAUCAAAGAUUCCGGCGGAUGGGAUAGCAACCUAUUCAGACAUUUGCGGCAGAAUCCUGAAAAUGGAGUUUUGGGAGAGUGUGCUCUUCUAAGAGUGCCUGGAUUUGUGGCUGGGUUUUCUGCUCCAAAGGUUCAAGGUAGCAUUUAUCAUCUACUCAGCAGAGGUGAACUCAACAAAGGUUCUACUAUUGUGUCACUUUAUUCUAGUCAUUCAUGUCUGUUCUCAAAGAUUUAACAUAUUCUGCUGUCAAUUAUUUCUUUUUCCAUUAUUAAUGAUCUGUUAGUUUCUUUUUUUGCCAUUUAAUUUGUUCUGUCCAAUCAGAAAAUAAAAAUGGUUUUAGUCGAAUAUGAAGUCUUUUCAAGUUAAAAGUAAUGACAUAGUAUGGUUCAAAGGGGACUGGAUGAGGAAUAUUGGUCUCUCUUAAUCCUAAACUGAUGGAAAUGAAAAUGGGAUUUCCUAGGUUUUAUCUGGCUUCUCUUGUGGAUAUGUGAUGUUAAACUGUCUUAUUGAAUGCAGACAACCUAUCUCAACAUACGCAGCAGAAUCCUGAAUGUGGACUUUUGGGAAGGGCUGCUCUUCUAAGAGAGCCUGGAUGCCUGGUUGGGGUUUCUUCUCCAAUAGUUCAAGGCAGCUUUUAUCAUCUGAAGUGUCACACCACAUUGGCUGCCACGCCUCUGUAAGGCGGUCUGGUGAUUUAUAAAUUUGAUGUUGAUGUAGCAGAAUUUCAAUAGCUUCACACGAUUUCUGUUAUUAUUGAAUGCCAACUCUAUGAAUUACAUUCUUUGGCUUGAAAGAAAAGUAACAAAUUGAAAAAGUAGUAUCAAUACCAAGUUAAAAGAAUGGUAUCCUUAUCUUUCAGAUGAAUCUUCAUUCAAGAAGAGAGAGUGAAGAUUUAUGUGCUGGUAAGACGUUUGGUUCUUCUGAGCAUCAAAUUAUGGAGAGACGAGAUGUGGAAAAAGAGAGAGGCAAAUUCUCCACCUCAUGCAUUGCUAUGUAGCAAGUUUGUGUUGUUGAAUCUUAUCUUUGUGGUUUCAGUCCAUGUAGAUGUAUCAAGUCUUGUAAGUGCUAAGAUGAGCUAAUCUUUGCUAGAUUCAUUUGAGUUGGUGAGGAAGGAGCAUAAAGCUAUUGAUGAGAAGCAAAAGAAUGUUUCAGAUGAACAUAAAGAAAAUUUGGACCCAGAUAUUGCUACAUAUUUAGAGGAUUCCAGAAAUCAUAAGAGGAUUUCUAAUUUCUUGUUAUUCUUCUGUGAAUGCUUCUGCAUGCAGAGAAAUAUCGUGCACUGCUUGUGCAAGCAGAUCCCUGGAGAAGUGUUUUCAAUCAAGAUCCUUAAACCAUUACACAUGCAAGACGUAUAUCAUUAUUGUUGGUGGAUUUACAGAUUCAAAGUUACUCCGCAUAUCCUGGGCAGCAUUGUGAUGUCAAAUUGGACCAGAAUGAGAGCUCCAUGUUAUCCUCUUCCAACUUUGUUGAUAAGUUUAUUCAAGAAGGUUAUAUGCCUAAUGGUAGGGGCUUCAUUUUCUGAAUGAAGCAGCCUUGAUCAAUAGCUGCAUGUAGGGUACCUCUAGUGCACUUAUGAUGGUGGAUUCAGCAAGUUCGAUGGGCUUUGUUUGGAGGGACGGGAAGGAGGCUCCCCGAGGGUGUCUAAGAGUCGGCCAUGGUAGGUCGCCGCCCUCUUAUGUGCGCCUUGUCUUCUUCUCUCUGCUUCUCCCUCCAUGGUUGUCGAUCGAUGCUUAAAUACUCUAAAUUUCAUGGCUUGUUUGUUGUCCUAAAGGGGUUUACUAGCUUAAGCUGCUUCUGGUUGUAUUGGUUGAGGCCUCCCUCCUUGGUAGACGACUCUAGUUUCUACGAUUUGGAAAAGCUCCAUGGUCGGAUAUUUGAAGUGAGCGACGCUUUUUGAUGAAGAAUCGGGUCUCCUUAGUUUCUUCGAGUCCCGACCUGUUUUAAAUUAGGGUUACCUAUUAAUGUAUUGGGUCUGCUGGACUUGAGAGUGAGCUUCUUAUUGCAAUGGUAGCUUUUUUAAUAGCUUGUAUUCUUCUUCUGAAUUAACAGGUCAUAGACUUUGUACCAUUUUCUCUAGGCCUUUUAAGGCCAUUUUAAUGAAAUAUUAUCUUUG
rnacentral:misc_RNA from 1 species